UACGUAGGGUGCAAGCGUUGUCCGGAAUUAUUGGGCGUAAAGAGCUCGUAGGCGGUUUGUCGCGUCUGCUGUGAAAACCCGAGGCUCAACCUCAGGCCUGCAGUGGGUACGGGCAGACUAGAGUCCGGUAGGGGAGUGCGGAAUUCCUGGUGUAGCGGUGAAAUGCGCAGAUAUCAGGAGGAACACCGAUGGCGAAGGCAGGUCUCUGGGCCACUACUGACGCUGAGAAGCGAAAGCAUGGGGAGCGAACAGG
rnacentral:rRNA from 1 species